AUGAUUUCCCUAGUAACGGCGAGUGAAGAGGAAAGAGCUCAAAGUUGGAAACUGUUUGGCUUAGCUAAACCGUAUUGUAAACUGUAGAAACAUUUUCCUGGCACGCCGGAUUAAUAAGUCCUUUGGAACAAGGCAUCAUGGAGGGUGAGAAUCCCGUCUUUGAUCCGAGUAGUUGUCUUUUGUGAUAUGUUUUCAAAGAGUCAGGUUGUUUGGGAAUGCAGCCUAAAUUGGGUGGUAAAUCUCACCUAAAGCUAAAUAUUUGCGAGAGACCGAUAGCGAACAAGUACCGUGAGGGAAAGAUGAAAAGAACUUUGAAAAGAGAGUUAAACAGUAUGUGAAAUUGUUAAAAGGGAACCGUUUGGAGCCAGACUGGUUUGACUGUAAUCAACCUAGAAUUCGUUCUGGGUGCACUUGCAGUCUAUACCUGCCAACAACAGUUUGAUUUGGAGGAAAAAAUUAGUAGGAAUGUAGCCUCUCGAGGUGUUAUAGCCUACUAUCAUACUCUGGAUUGGACUGAGGAACGCAGCGAAUGCCWUUAGGCRAGAUUGCUGGGUGCUUUCGCUAAUAAAUGUUAGAAUUUCUGCUUCGGGUGGUGCUAAUGUUUAAAGGAGGAACACAUCUAGUAUAUUUUUUAUUCGCUUAGGUUGUUGGCUUAAUGACUCUAAAUGACCCGUCUUGAAACACGGACCAAGGAGUCCACCAUAAGUGCAAGUAUUUGAGUGACAAACUCAUAUGCGUAAGGAAACUGAUUGAUACGAAAUCUUUUGAUGGCAGUAUCACCCGGCGUUGACGUUUUAUACUGAACUGACCGAGGUAAAGCACUUAUGAUGGGACCCGAAAGAUGGUGAACUAUGCCUGAAUAGGGUGAAGCCAGAGGAAACUCUGGUGGAGGCUCGUAGCGAUUCUGACGUGCAAAUCGAUCGUCAAAUUUGGGUAUAGGGGCGAAAGACUAAU
rnacentral:rRNA from 1 species